rnacentral:rRNA from 1 species
UACAGAGGUCUCAAGCGUUGUUCGGAUUCAUUGGGCGUAAAGGGUGCGUAGGCGGCGCGGUAAGUCGGGUGUGAAAUCUCGGAGCUUAACUCCGAAACUGCAUUCGAUACUGCCGUGCUUGAGGACUGGAGAGGAGACUGGAAUUUACGGUGUAGCGGUGAAAUGCGUAGAUAUCGUAAGGAAGACCAGUGGCGAAGGCAGGUCUCUGGACAGUUCCUGACGCUGAGGCACGAAGGUCAGGGGAGCAAACGGG